rnacentral:rRNA from 1 species
UCUCAGUUCAGAUUGCGGGCUGCAACCCGCCUGCAUGAAGUCGGAAUUGCUAGUAAUCGCGGAUCAGCAUGCCGCGGUGAAUACGUUCCCGGGCCUUGUACACACCGCCCGUCACACCAUGGGAGCCGGUAAUACCCGAAGUCAGUAGUCCAACCUCGUGAGGACGCUGCCGAAGGUAGGAUUGGCGACUGGGGUGAAGUCGUAACAAGGUAUC